UAAAGACUAACAGCUAAAUCUUUGUUUUGUUCGUCGUAUUUGUGAAAUAUUUGUGGGACAGACAACUUAUAAAUAUUAAUUGUUUCCGCUCAAAACAAGGGAUACCUAACAUCAUAUAAACUUAACAGGAUGGAUAGAUAUCUUUAAAAAAAAUUAAUUUCUAAAGGUAAAUUUACCAAUGUUUUCAGAAAUUAAUUUGGUAGAGGAAUUACAACAUGCAAGGAAUCUAUAUUCUAUAGAGAAGGUAAUAUUACAGGAACCACAAUAACCAGGAAUUUUACAUUUUGGUACUCUGAAAUUAUUAUGUGUAGUAUGUAAUUUUAGUAAUAUAAGUACCAAUGGGACUGCAAUGGCUGCCAAUGGAUCCAUUUCAUCAUAUCAAUUUGAGGGUUUGAUGAGUUUUCCUGGAAGUCAGACCAUGACUUUGAGAAGAAUAGAGAGAAAGAUUUACACGUGCUUUGAAACUCUCCCUACGGUCCCCGUUCGUGGUGACGAUGGGCGGCAGCGGUGGCUGUAAUUUGGGAUCAGAUCCAAGCAGUGGCGAAGCUACCUCGGUGGCUACUAGUGGGUCUUAAAGGUGAGAGACCGGGUGGGCGACACCCCCCUUCUCCUAGGCCACUGGAUCCAAGGUCUGAAGCGGCAAAUGGCGAUUGCAGCGGGUUAACAUCAGGGAUUUUAAAAGGUCAGGUGCCAAGCGGAGAGUCAGGAGAUGUCAAAAGUUAAAUAGUUUAUUUUGACAUUUGGGAGUUCAUUCUCAUCAGUGGCCUUUUUUACCAGUCUCUGUUUUAUCGUCUUAGUUUAAUCAUAAUAACCUUGUAUGUAUAUGUGAAAGAAGAAAUAAAGA